rnacentral:tRNA from 1 species
AAGGAUAUAGCUCAGUGGUAGAGUGCCUGCUUAGCAUACAUGAGGUCCUGGGUUUGAUCCCUGGUACCUCUG